CUGGCGGCGUGCUAACACAUGCAAGUCGAACGCGAAAGGGACUUCGGUCCUGAGUAAAGUGGCGCACGGGUGAGUAACGCGUGGAUAAUCUGCCCUUAUGAUCGGGAUAACAGUUGGAAACGGCUGCUAAUACCGGAUACGCUCAAAAUGAACUUUUUGAGGAAAGAUGGCCUCUGCUUGCAUGCUAUCACGUAAGGAUGAGUCCGCGUCCCAUUAGCUUGUUGGCGGGGUAACGGCCCACCAAGGCAACGAUGGGUAGCCGAUUUGAGAGGAUGAUCGGCCACACUGGAACUGAAACACGGUCCAGACUCCUACGGGAGGCAGCAGUGGGGAAUAUUGCGCAAUGGGCGAAAGCCUGACGCAGCGACGCCGCGUGAGGGAUGAAAGGUUUUCGGAUCGUAAACCUCUGUCAGAAGGGAAGAAACUACGUUGUGCUAAUCAGCAGCGUACUGACGGUACCUUCAAAGGAAGCACCGGCUAACUCCGUGCCAGCAGCUGC
rnacentral:rRNA from 1 species